ACGUCACGUUCAACACGUCAGACGCAAUUUCCUUUCUCUGCGAGCUUCGUUACUCAUUUUUGUCUGGCGUACUUCCAAGCGCCCUCGCAUCGCCCGGCCAACAGAACCACGCGUGACUCAGGUUCAGUGUGAACUUCUAGUAGCGUUCAUGGAGGAAGACAUCUCUCUGGUGCACGGCGUCACCAACUUUGGGCUGGGUGAGACCUCUGAAACCCGCAACAGCCUAUGGUGCUCUCUGGCGGCUUACUAAAUGGAGCAGGCCGUCCGCAAAGAGAUAUCAAAGGUUGGAAUAAGUACUGGUGUGAGAAAAAGAAGCACGCCAAAGAUCGUGCAAGAGACGUCGAGGUCGACGCCCAAAUGUCUGGUGGGGGUCAGAACACCGUGCGCCCUCUCACCGACCUGGAGACGCGGGUCGCGUCACUUCUGGGAUUGAACACCAUUCAGGGCAGUGCAGCCCGUGUGCAGCCCCUUCCAGACUCCGAGGCCCCUCCGGUGCUGCUCGGCGAAGUCCCUCCGACAUCAACAUGCCGGGGCCCUUUGGCGUCCACUUGCCAGGGCGCUCUGGAAUCAACCUGCAAGGGCUCUCCGCAAUCAACCAGCCGGGGCUCUCCGAGAUUAACCUGCCGGGGCCCUCCGGAAUCAACCUGCCGCGGCCCUUUGGCGUCCACCUGCCAGGGCGCUCUGGAAUCAACCUGCAAGGGCCCUCCGGAAUCAACCUGCCGAGGCUCUUCGAGAUUAACCUGCCGGGGCCCUCCGGAUCAACCUGCCAGGGCUCUCCGGCCUCAACAUGCCGGGGCCCUUUGGCGUCCACCUGCCAGUGCGCUCUGUAAUCAACCUGCAAGGGCCCUCUGGAAUUACCCUGCCGGGGCUCUCCGAGAUUAGCCUGCCAGGGUCCUCCGGAAUCAACCUGCUGGGGCCCUCCGGCGUCAACAUGCCGGGCACCCUUGACCCCGGCGCGUCGGAGCCGUCUGAUGUCGACCUGCCACCCCCGCCAUCAAGGAAUAGUGAGACGGAAAUUAAGAUAGUUUACUCUCGAUAAGUUGAUGGAAAAUACUUGUGGCUAUGGCCAUAUAGUGUGCCCACCACAAAUCAGUCUUGUGCACGUGCUUAUCCGCGUGCGCACAGAGGAUACUUAGAAACUACUAUGUUCACGGCAUUUCAUUUCUCUUUAUCUGUGUGUUUAUUUAUCAUGCGCAAGUUGUAUCUAGGAAUGCAGUAGGGAACUCGUAAACAUUAUUAAAACAGAAGAUUGGAAUAUAAAGGGCGUUUUUUACUAUUUACAGAAUUUUAAAAGAGGGAAGAUGGUAGCUACGUGGAUGCCGUCUUCACUGUAAGUUUGUAGGGCUUGUCGGGCAUUAAAAGAGAACGAUUAAUAAAGGCUAACCCAAUUUAGACAGUUCGCAAUAAAAUGACCACCUUCGAGGCAUUCACCGUUAAAAUGUUGCCUUCCUUCGCUUGAUCAAAACCGUGCGCUCAAAGGCGUAUUAUGAUGCGUAGAAGAGUGGUGCCUCUCGUCACCAUCUUGAUAGCGGGUCUUUGGUGGAUGAGCCGGCGUAAUGCUUGGCUCAGCUCGGACUCGGCGGACCUCCAAUGGGCCCUGGCGGAGCAAGCGCUCCUUUUCACAGGGCCGUAGUUUUGGCUUUUAAUAAAGUUGUUCUCCUCCUCACACUUCCAAGAUAGUGACGGACAGACUGUGACCCGUCACUCCUCUACCGCUCAUAAUCAAGCGCACCCUUCAGUGCACGGUUUUGAAUCAAGCAAAACACGACGAAAUUUUAACGAUGAACAUCCCAAAGCUCGUUACUUUUCAUGAAAUGUUUCAAUUGGGUUAGGUUUUAAUAAUUUCUCCCUUUAAAACUGCAAUUGUAGCAUGCCCAAUUAAGCCGUUAAUUGAAAAGUGAAUUAUCAUAUUUGGUUAAUUAGUCAACGAACUGUGACGUUUAUCCUAUCAUCUGAUGUCCGCCAAACCCCACAAACACAGUGAAGACAGCAUCCACGUAGAUAUUAUCCUUUUUUUUUUAUUAUGUAAAGGAUAAAAUAACAACGCCCUGUAUGUCGACUUAGAUUUUCAGGGAAGUGGAAGAGAAGGAAAUUUUUGCAAUUUAUGUUACACAACAUUACUAGUUACCGCUCGAAAAGUUCAUGCUGACAGUGUGUACCUCUCGUGUCAGGUUUUCUCUGUUUCUAGCCUGCCUUGGUGGGUCCCGCAAUUUUUUUCAUCACUUUCCUAAGUCGAUUUUUGUUGGUCGCGAUUCCAAGUCGAUCGCUAUUUCUUAAAGAACAGUGUGCAACAAGCACGGCAUGUUGUUUGUCUACCAAAGUAUAUAACGGAGAAAGUUAAGGCUACAGCAAAGUGGAAAUUUGAGCCAGUUGGUUCACGUUCAAAAUAUAAAGCGGCAAAAAAAACAAAAAAAAACGGCAGGA